GUACUCGCUUCGGCGGUACAUAUACUAAAAUUGGAACGUAACAGAGAAGAUUUAGCAUGGCCCCCUUUGCAAGGAUCAUAUGCAAAUCGUGAAGCAUUUCACAUUACC
rnacentral:snRNA from 1 species